rnacentral:rRNA from 1 species
CUACGGGGGAUGCGAGCGUUAUCCGGAUUUAUUGGGUUUAAAGGGUGCGUAGGCUGUGCGUUAAGUCAGGGGUGAAAUGCCGUCGCUCAACGACGGAGCUGCCCUUGAUACUGGCGUGCUGGAGUACGGAUGCCGUUGGAGGAAUGAGUGGUGUAGCGGUGAAAUGCUUAGAUAUCACUCAGAACACCGAUUGCGAAGGCAUCUGACGAAUCCGUCACUGACGCUGAGGCACGAAAGCGUGGGGAUAGAACAGGAUUAGAUACCCUGGUAUUCCACGCCGUAAACGAUGAUGACUAACCGUCGGCGAUAGACAGCCGGUGGCCAAGCGAAAGCGAUAAGUCAUCCACCUGGGGAGUACGUCGGCAACGAUGAAACUCAAAGGAAUUGACGGGG